GAUGAACGCUAGCGGCAGGCCUAAUACAUGCAAGUCGAACGAUAGUUGGGGCUUGCUCCAACGAAAAGUGGCGCACGGGUGCGUAACGCGUAUGCAACCUACCUUAAUCAGGGGGAUAGCCCGAAGAAAUUCGGAUUAACACCGCAUAAAAACACAGGAUAGCAUUAUCCAAUGUUCAAAUAUUUAUAGGAUUAAGAUGGGCAUGCGUGACAUUAGUUAGUUGGCGGGGUAACGGCCCACCAAGACCACGAUGUCUAGGGGAUCUGAGAGGAUGGCCCCCCACACUGGUACUGAGACACGGACCAGACUCCUACGGGAGGCAGCAGUAAGGAAUAUUGGUCAAUGGAGGCAACUCUGAACCAGCCAUGCCGCGUGCAGGAAGACUGCCCUAUGGGUUGUAAACUGCUUUUAUCCGGGAAUAAACCUCUGCUCGUGAGCAGAGCUGAAUGUACCGGAAGAAUAAGGAUCGGCUAACUCCGUGCCAGCAGCCGCGGUAAUACGGAGGAUCCAAGCGUUAUCCGGAUUUAUUGGGUUUAAAGGGUGCGUAGGCGGCCUGUUAAGUCAGGGGUGAAAGACGGUAGCUCAACUAUCGCAGUGCCCUUGAUACUGAUGGGCUUGAAUGGACUAGAGGUAGGCGGAAUGAGACAAGUAGCGGUGAAAUGCAUAGAUAUGUCUCAGAACACCGAUUGCGAAGGCAGCUUACUAUGGUCUUAUUGACGCUGAGGCACGAAAGCGUGGGGAUCAAACAGGAUUAGAUACCCUGGUAGUCCACGCCCUAAACGAUGAACACUCGCUGUUGGCGAUACACAGUCAGCGGCUAAGCGAAAGCGUUAAGUGUUCCACCUGGGGAGUACGCCCGCAAGGGUGAAACUCAAAGGAAUUGACGGGGGCCCGCACAAGCGGAGGAGCAUGUGGUUUAAUUCGAUGAUACGCGCGGAACCUUACCCGGGCUUGAAAGUUAGUGAAUGAUCCAGAGAUGGAUCAGUGAGCAAUCACACGAAACUAGGUGCUGCAUGGCUGUCGUCAGCUCGUGCCGUGAGGUGUUGGGUUAAGUCCCGCAACGAGCGCAACCCCUAUGUUUAGUUGCCAGCACGUUAUGGUGGGGACUCUAAACAGACUGCCUGUGCAAACAGAGAGGAAGGAGGGGACGACGUCAAGUCAUCAUGGCCCUUACGUCCGGGGCUACACACGUGCUACAAUGGACGGUACAGAGGGCAGCUACAUAGCAAUAUGAUGCGAAUCUCACAAAGCCGUUCACAGUUCGGAUUGGGGUCUGCAACUCGACCCCAUGAAGUUGGAUUCGCUAGUAAUCGCGUAUCAGCAAUGACGCGGUGAAUACGUUCCCGGGCCU
rnacentral:rRNA from 1 species